rnacentral:tRNA from 1 species
GAUCUGGUAGCUCAGCUGGUAGAGCAACGCCCUUUUAAGGCGUGGGUCCUGGGUUCGAACCCCAGCCAGAUCACAA